GGCCGGUUGUUCGGAUUCCUGGGCGUAAGGGUGCGUAGGUGGUGGGGUAAGUCGGAUGUGAAAUCUCGGAGCUCAACUCCGAAAUGGCAUUGGAAACUACCCUGCUUGAGGGUUGGAGGGGGGACUGGAAUUCUCGGUGUAGCAGUGAAAUGCGUAGAUAUCGAGAGGAACACCAGUGGCGAAGGCGAGUCCCUGGACAACACCUGACACUGAGGCACGAAAGCUAGGGGAGCAAACAGGAUUAGAUACCCUGGUAGUCCUAGCCGUAAACGGUGCUUGCUUGCUGUAAAAGGAAUCGACCCCUUUUGUGGCGGAGCCAACGCGUUAAGCAAGCCGCCUGGGAAGUACGGUCGCAAGAUUAAAACUCAAAGAAAUUGACGGGGGCCUGCACAAGCGGUGGAGUAUGUGGCUCAAUUCGAUGCAACGCGAAGAACCUUACCUGGCCUUGACAUGCACGUAGUAGAAGGGUGAAAGCCUGACGAGGUAGCAAUACCAGCGUGCACAGGUGCUGCAUGGCUGUCGUCAGCUCGUGUCGUGAGAUGUUGGGUUAAGUCCCGCAACGAGCGCAACCCUUAUCAUUAGUUGCUACGCAAGGGCACUCUAAUGAGACUGCCGGUGACAAACCGGAGGAAGGUGGGGAUGACGUCAAGUCCUCAUGGCCCUUAUGGGUAGGGCUUCACACGUCAUACAAUGGUCGGUACAGUGGGUUGCCAAGCCGCGAGGUGGAGCCAAUCCCAGAAAGCCGAUCGUAGUCCGGAUUGUUCUCUGCAACUCGAGAGCAUGAAGUCGGAAUCGCUAGUAAUCGCGGAUCAGCAUGUCGCGGUGAAUACGUUCCCGGGUCUUGUACACACCGCCCGUCACACCAUGGGAGUGGAAUCUGCCAGAAGUAGGUAGCCUAACCGCAAGGGGGGCGCUUACCACGGUGGGUUUCAUGACUGGGGUGAAGUCGUAACAAGGUAAC
rnacentral:rRNA from 1 species